CCUGGCUCAGAUUGAACGCUGGCGGCAGGCCUAACACAUGCAAGUCGAGCGGCAGCGGGAAAGUAGCUUGGUACUUUUGCCGGCGAGCGGCGGACGGNUGAGUAAUGCCUGNGGAUCUGCCCAGUCGAGGGGGAUAACAGUUGGAAACGACUGCUAAUACCGCAUACGCCCUACGGGGGAAAGGAGGGGACCUUCGGGCCUUUCGCGAUUGGAUGAACCCAGGUGGGAUUAGCUAGUUGGNGGGGUAAUGGCUCACCAAGGCGACGAUCCCUAGCUGGUCUGAGAGGAUGAUCAGCCACACUGGAACUGAGACACGGUCCAGACUCCUACGGGAGGCAGCAGUGNGGAAUAUUGCACAAUGGGGGAAACCCUGAUGCAGCCAUGCCGCGUGUGUGAAGAAGGCCUUCGGGUUGUAAAGCACUUUCAGCGAGGAGGAAAGGUUGGCAGCUAAUAUCUGUCAGCUGUGACGUUACUCGCAGAAGAAGCACCNGNCUAACUCCGUGCCAGCACUCGCGGUAAUACGGAGGGUGCAAGCNGUUAAUCCGGAAUUACUGGCCGUAAAGCGCACCGCAGCCNNUUGGAUANGUUAAGAUGUGAAAGCCCCGNCUCAACCCUGGGAAUUGCAUUUAAAACUGUUCANNUAGAGNNNUUGUANANGGGNGGUNAGAAUUCCAGGNUGUANNCGNUGAAAUGCGUANAGAUCUGGNAGGANUACCGNUGNCGAANGNCGNNCCCCUGGACAAAGACUGACGCUCAGGUGCGAAAGCNUGNUGAGCAAACAGGAUUAGAUACCCUGGUAGUCCACUGCCGUAAACGAUGUCGAUUUGGAGGCUGUGUCCUUGAGACGUGGCUUCCGGAGCUAACGCGUUAAAUCAACCGNCUGGGGAGUACGGCCGCAAGGUUAAAACUCAAAUGAAUUGACGGGGGCCCGCACAAGCGGUGGGAGGAUGUGGUUUAAUUNGAUGCAACNGCGAAGAACCUUACCUGGCCUUGACAUGUCUGGAAUCCUGUAGAGAUACG
rnacentral:rRNA from 1 species